rnacentral:rRNA from 1 species
AUGCACCACGCGCAUCCAUCCAGCAUCUGCACAUGUCGGCGACCUCGCUGCACUGAAGCCGCUAGCGACCGCUGCAUCGCAGCACCGAGGAGCCAUCCGGGUGCUGCUCAAAUGGCAACGCCGAGCGAGGCAAAAAAGCUUCAGCGCAACAACUUCCUUGGCAGAAACGCGCGGCGCGAAGUACCGACGGCGCUUAUUGCAACCCCCGACGAGCUUCAACGGCCCCGUGGCGCUACAAUGCAGCUCCGACACGCUUCAUUGCAGCCCCGACGGAGCUUCAACGACCCGCGCGGCGCUCCAUUGCAGCCUCAGCGCACUUCACUGGAGCAGCAGCACCGCUGCGGAGCAUGUUGCGUAGGAUGCCGACAACACCACGAGCGCGUUGCGUCGGACGUCGCUUUGCAGCACCAUGAGCUUUGCCGCCCAGGCAAGAUCCAUGGCCAACUGGUGCUACAAGGCGGGUCGCAACCUGCUUGCUGCGAGGGGUCAUCCCACCGUUGUAGCGCAGCGGUGCCCCUCGCAGUAGCAACAACUCCGCCAAUCGGGGUGGUCGCUAUCUGGCAACACAUGGUGGUCGCCGUCCGCUCACAGCAACCGGGGCUCCUCACAUUACCCGCGUCCAUGGCUAUACGAAUUUGGGGGAAGAAAGAAUGA